CUUUCCUGGUCUUCUCCUUGUGGAGCUUGGAUGACCUGGAUUCCUUGCUGCUGCUUUUGGCUACCUGCGCCUUCCCAUAGUCAUCAGUCUCCUCAUUCGAACGCUUUGAACUUCCCGAUAUCCGGUCCUUCAUCGAUCCCGACUUGCUGGAGACUUCUUGGCUUUUUUCUUUUUCGGUCUGUUUAGCUUUUAGUAAGUCCCGGGAACGCCUGUGCUGGUGGUGACGAUGUUUGUGCAGGCGGUCGCUCCGAUCUGAUCCACGACGUUCGUCGUUCUCCCUUCGGUCUAGUUUGAAGGCCAUGUCAUCGGAGAAGGUGUCGGAAUCAGAGCUGAUAUCAUCAUACUCCACCAAAGUCCUCAGGCCCGGGCGCCGGGGAGGUCCAGGAAGUGAGAAGCCGACGGCCCGGGGCUGUGGAGCCGACUCCAGCUCUGGGGCCCUGCGAGGACUACGCGGGCCCUUCCCCUACCCGGUAGCCCGGUUCAGGACGGCUUCCUGUCGCCGGGGUGCCGCGGCCUAGGUGCCUCACGCCCCCUUUGUCCCUCGCUCCUGAGGUAGCCCCCUUUCUUGCCUCCGUUUCACCUCCACACCACACACACUCUCUCCCUCACACAGACCCAGUCACACACUAGAUUAAACCGAAACGGCACUUGGGGAAGGGGGGAGGGGCAA
rnacentral:lncRNA from 10 species